rnacentral:rRNA from 1 species
AGAUAAAGAACCAAUAUUUUUGGUGACUCAUAAUAACUUUACGGAUCACAUUAUGUGACAUAUCAUUCAAGUUUCUGACCUAUCAGCUUUAGACGGUAGGGUAUUGGCCUACCGUGGCUAUGACGGGUAACGGGGAAUUAGGGUUCGAUUCCGGAGAGGGAGCCUGAGAAACGGCUACCACAUCUAAGGAAGGCAGCAGGCGCGCAAAUUACCCAAUCCUAAUACAGGGAGGUAGUGACAAGAAAUAACAAUACAGAACCUUACGGUUUUGUAAUUGGAAUGAGUUAAGUAUAAACCCCUUAACAAGUAUCAAUUGGAGGGCAAGUCUGGUGCCAGCAGCCGCGGUAAUUCCAGCUCCAAUAGCGUAUAUUAAAGUUGUUGCAGUUAAAAAGCUCGUAGUUAAUCUUCUGUUAAUUUUUAUAUAUAAUAUCUCGAUAUUUAUAUAAUAUUAACAUAAUUCAUAUUACUUUUUAGUAUAUGAAACUUUACUUUGAGAAAAUUAGAGUGCUUAAAGCAGGCUAUUGCCUUGAAUACUCCAGCAUGGAAUAAUAUUAAGGAUUUUUAUUCUUCUUAUUGGUUCUAGAAUAAAAAUGAUGAUUAAUAGGAACAGUUGGGGGCAUUUGUAUUUAACAGUCAGAGGUGAAAUUCUUAGAUUUGUUAAAGACAAACUACUGCGAAAGCAUUUGCCAAGGAUGUUUUCAUUAAUCAAGAACGAAAGUUAGGGGAUCGAAGACGAUCAGAUACCGUCGUAGUCUUAACCAUAAACUAUGCCAACUAGAGAUUGGAG